rnacentral:rRNA from 1 species
GAUGAACGCUAGCGGCAGGCUUAACACAUGCAAGUCGAGGGGUAUAGGUUUUCGGACCUAGAGACCGGCGCACGGGUGCGUAACGCGUAUGCAAUCUACCUUUCACAGAGGGAUAGCCCAGAGAAAUUUGGAUUAAUACCUCAUAGUAUUAUGAAGUGGCACCAUUUUAUAAUUAAAGUUCCAACGGUGAAAGAUGAGCAUGCGUCCCAUUAGCUAGAUGGUAAGGUAACGGCUUACCAUGGCGACGAUGGGUAGGGGUCCUGAGAGGGAGAUCCCCCACACUGGUACUGAGACACGGACCAGACUCCUACGGGAGGCAGCAGUGAGGAAUAUUGGUCAAUGGACGCAAGUCUGAACCAGCCAUGCCGCGUGCAGGAUGACGGUCCUAUGGAUUGUAAACUGCUUUUGUACGAGAAGAAACACUCCUUCGCGAAGGAGCUUGACGGUAUCGUAAGAAUAAGGAUCGGCUAACUCCGUGCCAGCAGCCGCCGUAA